UUAGCAAGAGCAUGCCAAACAUUAUAGAAAAAAAAAUGUACACUAGUCUGAAAGGAAUGGAAUUCGCAAUACUUUUGAAUAAUAUCAUCGGGAUUCGAACCCUUUCCUCUGUGACAUCGUGGCAACACCACCUUCACCGUGUCCAGCGCCUAAGACCACUCGACCACCUAGGCUACAUUACAAUAUAGCUUUCGGAGGUCAAUGUAAUGCCUUUCCUCGUCGGCUUUAUCUAGGGUUGUAACACAGUAUAUGAUGUAUAGUGGCAAGGCAACAGUAGACAGAUGUGCCUCUCAGAGAGUCUGCAAGGAAUACUGGUUGGCGUCACAAGGUUAUCAACAAAAAACAGGUCAAAAGUAAAAUAGCAAAAAUACCGAACUUUAAGGAAAGUCCUUCAUCAACAUGAUCAAAUGGCAAAAUCAAAAGCUCAACACAUCAAACGAAUGGAAAACAACUGUCAUAUUCCUGACUUGGUAUAGUCAUUUCCUCAUGUAGAAAAUGGUGGAUUAAACGUGAUUGUAUAGCUAGCUAACCUCUCACUUGUAUGACAGUCGAAUAGAAUUCCAUUAUAUUGACAACAAUGUGUGAGCAAAACAAAUAGACAUAAUAGGUAAAAAUGUCAAAAAUUGGGUUACAGCAGUCAACAUUGUGUUAUAAUCUUAAUCACUAUAAAAACAAAUAACAAUUUCAACAAUGAAAACUAAAUGGCAUCAAGACACUAUACGGACAAAGUACGUAAGCAAAAAUGAAAGACAAGAAUACACAAAAUUACCAUAGCAAAAUAAAACAAUGGCGGGAUGUAUAAAUCACUAGCCACGCCAAAAAUGGACUAAACAGUAAAGUUUAAAAAUAUACAAAGACAAAAAAAAACCACACUAUAACACGGAAAAAUAUCCCCUUUCCAUACACAUACACAUAUAUUGAAUAAUGAAGGACUAUUUGAUUUUUGGGGAAAGCGAGAGGAUUGAGCUUGGAAAAUUUUAGCAAAUAUCAAAUAUAAGUGUUUUCCGGAUUAAAUUAUUUAUUUUUGCCAUAGGCUGAUUUAAAUCAAUUAUGUUUACACAAGCUAGCAUCUGAAGCAAACACUUUUUUCCUUACCUUCUGCAACAAACUAUGUACUUCAAAUUAUUGUAAUUAUUGUAAAAAAUUCCUUUCAAAUAUUAUCCAAGCACCCCCACCCCCCUCUUCCAGAAUAUUUAACAGUCAUCCCCCAGGAAAAAGGACUAACAAAAUUAGCACAACAUUGUAAAUUUUAUUUUGCUAUUUUUGGGGGAGUAUAGACUUUAACUGGGUGUUUUUCGGAGGAGGGGGUCUAAAUCUUGUAUUUACAUAGGUUUUCUAUUACAAAUCUUUCAAUUUUAGCAGAUAUAAGGUAUGUUUGUUUGGUCUAUUUGGGAAAGUUAUUUUUGAUGGGUGUGUCGUUAGUUUUUUUUUAGAGGCCGACAUUCAUUUUCUCUGUCAGAAGAGUCGUCCUACAAUAUAUUUAGAUUUAAAUUUACCACAGAAUGAUUGAGAAAAAGCAAUUGGGUACUGUAUAACGUACAUGUUUUUCACUCUUUUCUGGGAUGUUUCCUAUAUCUUGACCAUGUUUUAGAAUAAACCCUUUUCAAUUUUGUGAAAAGUAUUCUUGUUCAAACUAUUUUUAAAAUUAAAACAUGCAUUUUAUUUGCAUUUGAAUCUGUAUUUGGAUCAUGUGAAAAAAACUGCAUAGAGUGUUUUAGUAAUCAAAUUACAAAACAAAAACACCUUAGAAUAUCAUAGUUUGUAAUUUAUCAAUGUCCUCAUCAGACUGCAGUUUAAUGAUGCAAAGAUUGUACAGUAAACAACAAUUUGUUAUUUGGAAAUAUUCAAGUUUAUUCUUUUGGUAAGCACAUUCUCUUAUAUUAUUCUUGCAUCUCUUAUUCUUGAAUAUAUAUAUAUUUGUUUUGAACAUUUUCUUUUUUUGUUUCAAUUUCUUUUUUUUUAUUUUUAUUUUUGCAAAUAUUUUACUACAUACUUCAUGUGUAUGCAGCAUCCGGGACAAGCAUCACAAUUAUCUGUAAAAAAUAAUAUUAUUAUACAAUGUAUAAAAUCGGUUUGACACUGGCUUGUUGUAUCUUGUGUAAGAUAUUUUAGGCGUCUGUCUAUAUUAAGAUUUACAAUAUUAUGAUGUUUUUUUUAUUCCAGUUUCAACAUAUAGUUUUUCUGCGUUUCUUCUACUUUGUUCAAAAUUUUUAGUUACAUCAACUGCUCAAGGGAGAAAACGUAUAGGUUUUAUACCUGUCAAUGAAAAUACGCAUAUUUUUGGUUGAUCAAAUGCUUUAUAACUUUUAUCUUUGUUUUUUUUUUCAGGUUCAGGUUAGAACUGUGACAUUCAAUAGAUCAAAUUAAGUAUAGCCGCACAUUUAUGAAUAUGAUAUGAGUUAAGUAAUAUCUGUAUAUUUUGAAGUAUGAUCACAUCAAAUUGUAACAAAUUAGCAUUGGUCGCGUGGAAACCUUCUCAAUACCAAUAAACAUGUCAAUAUGUACUAUUAUAGAUUCGUUAAACAAAAAUAUCAAAUCUUGAGCAGAUCCAUCAUUCAUGUUUCCUACCAAUGCCCCUCCCCCUGUCGAUCCUUUUUGGAAUGUUUGCCAAAUUUUCCAAUCCAUAAAAACAUAUGGGAAAAAAACAACACUUAAAAGAACAAAUUGAUAAUUUGCACAGACUCACAGAAAGUCGUAAUUGAGAGACAGUGGCAGGUAAACAGAUUCCAAAAAGAGGUUUUCAGGUUCAAAAUUUGAUAUUUGUGUAUAUUUCAGAAGAAAUCACAUGCCUUGAAAAGCAGAUAUUUAAAAUGCGAAUUUUCUUAGUUACACACAAGAAGACUGUGGAGUCUUACACUUAAAGUUUAUUUUUGAUGACCAAUAAAAAUCCUUGUUACAAAUGAAUUGCAUAGGAAUGAUCAAAACAAACUCCAUAAAAAACAAAAAUGACGGAUCAAAUUCUCGGUACGCUUGUCACUCUCUACUAGUAGUAACCUGUGCAUUGUUCGAAAAAAGCAAUGUCAGAAAAAAAUAAAGUCCGUUUUGAGGAAUGGGACCUUUUACAACAAUAUGUAUCUAGUCAAUCUUGAGAAAAAAAAAUCAUAUUGGGCUACAUGCUCUGAAAUGAAAGUUGUCAUGAAUUACAACAUUAUUCCAUAUAUUAUGAUAAUUUUGUUAUGUUAUGUAGGUACAAAUACCAUUAAUUGAGAAGAGAAAACUCAGAUGGAGGAUAUAAUGUAACAGCAGAAACUGAAGAUUUUCCCAGCACAAAAUAAAUUGCAGACACUGAUGAUAAAUCAGAUGACGAUCCAUUAUGAUGAGCACAAAGGUUCUGCUAAAACCAGUUUGAACAACUUAUUUCACUAUUACAGAAGGAUGGGCUCUUAAGAUUUCUAUUAACCAUUGAAGCACUUCAAUAGCUAGGUUAAGAAAUGUUUACAUUAUAUAUACAUGGAAUGCAAUGCUACAGAAAAAGACCAAAUGUUGAUCAAACAUGUAACAUUUUGAAACUAUUAAUGAACGAUGAUGGAAGAAAAAAAAUGAAUUACGAUAAAUCGGUAACCACAUCUUAAGUUAGGGUUUUAUUUGUCAUCUUUGUUAAACUUGGAUCUAAAGAUCCAGCAAAGUUACAACUGAGAAUUUGAAUGCAGUUGAUCAUGAACAUUUGCAAAAAGUAAAAUCACAAAAAUACUGAACUCCGAGGAAAAUUCAAAAAGGAAAGUCCCCAAUCAAAUGGCAAAAUCAAAAGUUCAAACACAUCAAACGAAUGGAUAACAACUGUCAUAUUCCUGACUUGGUACAAGGCAGAAAUGAAAACUGUUGAUAUUCAUGCUGUUUUCUUCGACUUGGCGGUGUAUAUUAUUAUACAGUUAUCAAGGAGAUUUGAAUUUUACAUUUUUUUAUUGUUUCAGACACAGACCAGUAUAACUAACG